rnacentral:rRNA from 1 species
UGGGUCCAACCCUUCCGUAGGGGAACUUGUGGAAGGAUCAUUAAAGAUUGACCGAAAGGUCUUAUCUCUAUAUCCCUCACCUCUGUGAACUGUGGACCUCCGGGUCUGUCUUAACAAUCCUCCGGGCGAUGAACGUAUAUAUCAUUAAACAAAACAAAACUUUCAACAACGGAUUUAUCGGCUGUUGUAUUGAUGAAGACAGCAGUGAAAUGCGAUAAGUAAUGUGAUAAGCAGAAUUCAGUGAAUCAUUGAAUGAAUGAUCGCGUCUUGCGCCUUUUGGUAUUCCGAAAGGCAUGCCGGGGGGAGUGUCAUGAAAUGUCACUCCCCCCGGGUUUAUGAUGUGGGUCGGACUUGGACAUGGGCGUCUUCCGGUCGCACGGCUCGCCUCAAAUGACUUAGUGGAUCUCUUCGCAUCCGUGACAGAAGUAAUAAGUUUCGUCUUGUCCGUAGGUAAGGAGUGUGCCAAUAACCUGCCAUCGCGCACUUUUAGACUCUGACCUCAAAUCAGGUACCACUACCCGCUGAACUUAACCAUAUCAAUAUUUUGGAGGAGUUGACCUCGGAUCAGGUAGGGAUACCCGCUGAACUUAAGCAUAUCAAUAAGCGGAGGAA